AUGAAGUUCAGAGUUGUUUGCAGGAAGUUGUAUGAUUACGUGAGGUAUGAUCUUAAAGAGAUUGCCUUCCCAUCUUCUCUGCCAGACCCUCCGGGCACCAAGAGGCGUCCUAAGCUCACACUGAAAGAAAAAUGGUGUAUCCUCAAGGAGGCAACCAGGCUCUAUGGGGCUUCCUGGGUCAGGGACAUCGGUCCCGAGCUCAGGCCAAAUGAUUACAAGAAGGUCAAAGAGGAAUCUGAGCCUAACAGCACCAAGGAGGGGAAAACUACAAGUGAGCCUAGUUUGCUUGAGGAUCUCGCAGUGGCAGCAAAGGGCGGGGCGGAGACCCUGAAGCCUGCGCUGCGGCGCAUAUACAUGACACGCGCCUCUACCUACACGAGUGCAGUGAAGAACUAUGUGGAGACCUAUCAGGAAGGGCUGAAGGAUGUCUUGGAUGAGAAGGCUGCUGGGAAGGAUCACCAGCAAGGCAAUGAGCCAAGGGGACCAUCAGCACCACCACCGCCCCCGCCAUCAUCGUCAUGA
rnacentral:rRNA from 1 species